CGGCAUUGUGGACCUAAGACC
rnacentral:miRNA from 1 species